CUUGAAAUUGUCGGGAGG
rnacentral:snRNA from 1 species